AAUCAACGCUGGCGGCGUGCCUCAGACAUGCAAGUCGAACGAUUAAACUUUCCUUCGGGAAAGAUAUAAAGUGGCGCACGGGUGAGUAACACGUAAGUAAUCUACCUUCGAGUGGGGAAUAACGUUCGGAAACGAACGCUAAUACCGCAUAAUGCAGCGGCAUCGCAAGAUGACAAUUGUUAAGGGAUUUAUUCGCUUGA
rnacentral:rRNA from 1 species